UGAUUGAGUGGCGACGGGUGAGUAACACGUAUCCAACCUGCCGAUGACUCGGGGAUAGCCUUUCGAAAGAAAGAUUAAUACCCGAUGGCAUAGUUCUUCCGCAUGGUGGAACUAUUAAAGAAUUCGUCAUCGAUGGGAUGCGUUCCAUUAGGUUGUUGGCGGGGUAACGGCCCACCAAGCCUUCGAUGGUAGGGGUUCUGAGAGGAAGGUCCCCCCACAUUGGAACUGAGACACGGUCCAAACUCCUACGGGAGGCAGCAUG
rnacentral:rRNA from 1 species